rnacentral:tRNA from 1 species
GCGCCCGUAGUUCAGCGGAUAGAACGCUUCCUUGCGGAGGAAGAGGUCGCAGGUUCAAUUCCUGCCGGGCGCA